rnacentral:rRNA from 1 species
CUCUCGGCAACGGAUAUCUCGGCUCUCGCAUCGAUGAAGAACGUAGCGAAAUGCGAUACUUGGUGUGAAUUGCAGAAUCCCGUGAACCAUCGAGUCUUUGAACGCAAGUUGCGCCCGAAGCCGUCAGGCCGAGGGCACGCCUGCCUGGGCGUCACGCAACGUC